rnacentral:misc_RNA from 1 species
AAAAUGCGAUACUUGGUGUGAAUUGCAGAAUCCCGUGAACCAUCGAGUUUUUGAACGCAAGUUGCGCCCGAAGCCAUCCGGCUGAGGGCACGCCUACCUGGGCGUCACGCAUCGCGUCGCUCCCCACCAUACCUCCCCAACGGGUUGGCAUGGUGUUGGGGGCGGAUAAUGGCCUCCCGUGCUUGUGUUUCGGUUGGCCUAAAUAAGAGUUCCCUUCGGCGGACACACGACUAGUGGUGGUUGAAUAGACCCUCGUCUUUUGUUGCGUGUCGUGAGCUGUAAGGGUAGCCCUCAUCAAAGACCCCAUUGUAUCGUCUUCGGAUGAUGCUUCGACCGCGACCCCAGGUCAGGCGGGACUACCCGCUGAGUUUAAGC